GUGGGUUGGCCCUCCUAACUAAGGCUCAUCACCGAUCGCGGAGGUGGCCGCGGCCGAUGAGGCGGCAGGCGGCGGGACUCCGAAGGGCGCGGCAGGCGGCGGGACUCCGAAGGGCGAAAGGAGAGAUCAGAGAGAUCCUUCGGGCCGGGCCCUGCGCGAUGUGGCGUGAAAGCACUAAAAAAU
rnacentral:rRNA from 1 species